CCCUUAUACAUAGUAUUGUCCAGCUGCCAGUGAAACAAGAAAUAGCUGUUCAGGGUGUUUACAGUUUAAAUUUUCAGAGGGAUAUGUUGUUUUUUUCUUCACAUGACCCUUCAAGAUUCUCAUUUUGGAUUAUUAUUUGCAAUGUUUUAAAUCUUUUGGUGUCAUUGUGCAUACAAUAUUGGAUUUAUUUUAUUUGAAUUCACUACUCAGACUUUUUAUAGCAAUUUUGCUUCUUAAAAUGUGAUGUGUUUCUUUCAAGAUUUUAUUGUCAUGAAGGACAUCAAGGAGGAAAUAAUUCAUUCAAACCGUUUUGUGGGGCUUACAUAUGAUGUUGUACAUAUAAAAUUCGAAAUAAUUUUGGAGUAUACCUUGCUGUGUUUUUUCUUUGAAAUCUAUUAUAAUAUUAGUGGGAGUUUUGUGCAUAAAAUGCUGUGUUCACUAAAGGAAUUCAAAUUUUUCAUACGAUGGGAUUUAGUUAUGUCAAAGAUUUAAAGAUUUCAAAACUGGAAUUCAAGUAGGAGAUAUAGUGUGAGUUCAUCCAACAUGUUUCUGUGG
rnacentral:lncRNA from 1 species